CCUGGGUUCGCGCUUAUAUAUGCGGCGGCUGGGUUUCUUUGCGCAUGCGUCGUCUCGACGUUCUGCGCGGCACAAAGGAGCUGGGCGGAAACAGCCGAGAAGCGGCGCGGAGGGAACUGAAAAGGCUAAGACGCGAAUCACUGGCGGAGGGAUACGUUCCCAUGGCAACGCCAAGGGCUCGCCUGUAAACCCGCCCCCUUCCCUUUCCCUGUGCCCUCCUCAUUUUCCUCCCUUCUCCGUCCACGCUUUCGUUUUCACCAAUCUAGGAACCCUCAGCUCUGGUAUUCUUACUACAGGUGCACGAGACCGGGCUUAUGAAAGGCUGUAAAAUUUAACCGCUGAUGUUGCAGCCGUCGCCGCCUUUCUGCUGGGGGACCCGGCCUAGACUGGUACUCAUUGAUCUUCGGGGCUCGUCAGAGGUAAUCGGGAGUUUGGCCAGGAGAUGAGAAUAUCCUAAUGCUGCACCUCACAACUAUUAGUUUGUUUGCCUCUGUUAUAACAGCAACACUUCAGGCUGCGGAAGAAGUGACCCCAGUCAGGAGAGCAGAAGCUAUACCCUCAUUGCAGCUACAUCACUCCACUUCAGAUAUUUCUCAUUUCUAAAGGGGGGAAACAAAUAUGUCACCCUCUGAAUAAAAGAGAAAAUAAUGAGGAUGGCCUUACAUCAUUUAGUAAGGGAGAAAAUGAUAAGGAGGACAAGUUCGAAGAUGCCUAUGAAAGUAUCCCCGCAGCAACAACAAUGGAUCUAAUAUCUUCCCUGGAGGAAUGCACAACUGGAUUGUAUUUAUUUCUAAAUAACAGAUUCUCAGAUGCCAUACAUCUCAUUUAUCCAUGGUCGAAAAACAGCAUGUACCAGUCCCUAAUUUAUGGUAUCCUUAUGGUCGUCAAGGCCUUCUUGACUUUUGAUCCACAGGAGAUAGAAAUUGGGAUGACUGCCACAAAGGAAGCCUUGAGAACCUGUAAUAGUUUCCGAAGAAAAUCUAGGAUGAUGAGUUUUUCUCGUCUAGUGAAUAAGCAGGGAAUAAAUGCUAUCAAAGAAGAGGAAUUGCAUGCAGAAGUCUGCUAUGCUGCGUGUUUGAUCUUGAAAUCCACUGUAACGUUUAUACAGGAUGACAGUGUGCUUCGUUUUCUUAAAAGCAGGAUCAACGUUGUAAUUUAAGUUACCAAAUAUACAAAGACUGUCAGCGAGUAUUAACACAGAUACCUAAUUACCAAAGUAAAACUUACAGACACCUGGUUGGAGGCAUAAAAUUUGGACUUGGAGUAUUCAAUUUGAUAUUAUCACUUGUGCCACCAAAGACACUUAAACUACUCAAUGUUGUUGGAUAUUCUGGCGAUAGAGAGGAUCAUAGUCCGGAAAAAAUUCUGGACCAUGCCAGAAGCCAACGAAGUACUCCGGUGACCAGAAAUCUGUGGUGGAAGCGAGUCUCUUGCACUUUUCCACUCCCGCGUUUAU